rnacentral:sRNA from 1 species
CACCAGUGACUGACAUGACUUGGUGCAAAUCUUGGGUAGAGACCUAUACUUAAGCUCCUCACCCCCACCUGCCGUAAGGGCUCAGAGGGGGUUCCAUGGGGUGGGCGGGAGUGGUAAGGGUCCAGGUGCAGCCACAGCCUGGUGCCCCCCACCCCAUGUGCACACCCUCCUCUCCCUGCCCCCUGCCCCUUGUGUGCACCUUCUGUACCCCCCUUCCCGCCCCAGCCUGUGUUUGCAGUGCUGCAGGGUGGCUGCAGCCUUCGCCUCCCACGGCUCCUCGAGGUCAGAGGGCUGGGAACCCCUUGGAUGUGGCUGAGAUGAGGACCCUGCCCCUCCUCAGGCAUUUCUGGGCAAGGCGCACAGAGACACAGUGAGCCCAGCAGCUGAGCCCCGCCUAUCAGGCCACAUGGGAAACUAAGGCAUGAAGACAACCCCAGACUGGAAAUAACAAAGCCAUCAUGUACUGUGUGCCUA